AUGGGUACCCAAAAGUCUGCUUUUAAAAACCAGCUUACUAAGACAAAAAUGAACAUUACUUACCAACCUAAAGCCAAGUGGCUUUGAUUUUACUUGCAUACAAUGCCCAGCUACUUAAGAAAGAGGGAAUCAUUAAUAUGUUGGGCUGUAGUCACAGCCUCUCCUUGUAGAAGGUACACAAAGCCACUAGAUAGAGCCGAAACGAUAAUACAACACUCAAAAAACUGCCUUUGAAAGUUUUCAAGCUCUUGGUGAGAUACACAACGCUUCUAUAUGAUGCACAGUAGGCGUGGAUGCUCAGCACAGGACUAAGAGUCCCAGUGGGGAGCUGUGAAUGAUAGUAAUAACAUUUCCCGCUGGGUUGGCGGGGUGUCUAGAGCCGAAACGCGGAUCAACUUUUGGCAUUACACAGAAGUGAUUGUGCGCACGUGCUCCGUUUCCCAUCCCUCUCCCUCUUAUAUCUAUGGUCUAACUGAAAGCACAAUGCUUUCUUUUUACUUUCUGAUUUUAUUGCACUUCGGGUACCAGUGUCACUGUGAGUGCGAAAGUGGUGAAAGACCGUUAAGUGGUGUGAUAACUUGCCCUUUGUUCAAUGGCACGGAGUGUGGUGGUGAGAUGAGAGGUAACUGCUCUUCUUGCGGCACCUGUAUCUGCAACCCUCCAUUCUUUGGACCUGAGAAUGGCUGCAGAUGUGAUGAUGCCUCCUGUAACUGUAAUGGCCGAGGGUCUUGUGUAUGUGGUGUACCUCCGGAGUGUGCAUGUGAUGCUCUAGCUCCUGUAUCUCAGGAGCAGUAUUUUGGUCCCACUUGUGAUUGUAAUCCUGACAUCUGCUUCAAUACUAACUGGACCAGUGAUGGAAGGAAAGCUGAACUGUGUCAAGUGGCAGAUGAUCCCAACAACAGUGGGAUAUGUACGUGUAAUGGGUGUCAAUGUGGACGAACUGCCACCGGUACGACGAGCGGGAAUGGUCUAUGUCUGCCCAUGACCCAGACGAGUACUUUUCCAACCCCUGCAAUGCUAUCGUAGGGGGGUGUACCUAUGAAUUCUCCGUUGGCCGACCAUCAUUUGCGUACAAUUUACCGGUGCUUAUUUUUGAAGACACUAUGGAUUGUAGAGGACGACCAACUUGGGCCCCCUAUACAAUAGCUGCUGGUAUAGUUCUACUUAUUAUUCUGCUGGGUUUUCUCAUCCCCUGUCUGCUUAAGAUUGGUUGCACUGUUUGGGAUAAAAAGCAGCACAGGAUGUUUACUGCAGAGCUACAGCAUGCCGACUUCACACCUGUCACACCUGAGGGUGUUCCUAGCAACGAUUGUGUUUAAUUUGGUCGGACUGUGUGCAACCAAGUGCGAAAUUGAUGUUUUGUGUCUUUUAUUUCAAACCUACAAAUGCACUUAAUUACCAAAUAAAUCAGUCACAUUACACCCCCUCCACACACACACAAACAGCACGAGAAUCCACCUUGUUUGCACUCAGCAAUUUUCUCUAAUUAAAUUUAUAUACACAACCUUUCUAUUGUAAUGCAUGGUUUAAUUUUUAGUCUGCAUUGUUUUUUCUUGAUGUAUUUUCUAGUGCCACACACACACACACUACACGCAUUGGAUCGCCUUAUCAUUGUAUAUACAAUCAA